AACGUAGGAGGCGAGCGUUAUCCGGAUUUACUGGGUGUAAAGCGCGUGCAGGCGGUGUCGUAAGUGGUGCGUGAAAGCGCUCUGGCUCAACCGGGCGAGGACGUGCCAAACUGCGGUACUGGAGGUAGGUAGAGGCGUGUGGAAUUCCGGGUGUAGUGGUGAAAUGCGUAGAGAUCCGGAGGAACACCAGUGGCGAAGGCGACACGCUGGACCUGACCUGACGCUAAGACGCGAAAGCAUGGGGAGCAAACGGGAUUAGAUACCCCCGUA
rnacentral:rRNA from 1 species